CAGCCCCUCGAGUGGUGGGGAUGAUUAUUUGGCCUAAAGCGUCCGUAGCCGGCCGAGUAAGUCCCCCGUCAAAUCCAGCGUCUCAAGCGUUGGACUGCGGGAGAUACUACUUGGCUAGAGAGUGGGAGAGGUCAGCGGUAUUCUGGGGGUAGGGGCGAAAUCCUUUGAUCCCCGGAGGACCACCAGUGGCGAAGGCUGCUGACUAGAACACGUCUGACGGUCAGGGACGAAAGCUGGGGUAGCAAACCGGAUUAGAGACCCGAGUAGUCC
rnacentral:rRNA from 1 species